rnacentral:rRNA from 1 species
UACGGACGGGGCAAGCGUUGUUCGGAAUCAUUGGGCGUAAAGGGCGCGUAGGUGGCUCUGUGUGUCUACCGUGAAAGCGUACGGCUCAACCGUAUUUUGUCGGUAGAAACUGCAGGACUUGAGGCUGGGAGGGGCUGGUGGAAUUCCCUGUGUAGCGGUGAAAUGCGUAGAGAUGGGGGAGAACACUCGUGGCGAAGGCGGCCAGCUAGACCAGUUCUGACACUGAGGCGCGACAGCGUGGGGAGCAAACAGG